CCUACGGGAGGCAGCAGUGAGGAAUAUUGGACAAUGGUCGGAAGACUGAUCCAGCCAUGCCGCGUGCAGGAUGAAGGUCCUAUGGAUUGUAAACUGCUUUUGUAAGGGAAGAAUAAGGAGUACGUGUACUUUGAUGACGGUACCUUACGAAUAAGCAUCGGCUAACUCCGUGCCAGCAGCCGCGGUAAUACGGAGGAUGCGAGCGUUAUCCGGAAUCAUUGGGUUUAAAGGGUCCGUAGGCGGGCUGAUAAGUCAGAGGUGAAAGCGCUUAGCUCAACUAAGCAACUGCCUUUGAAACUGUCAGUCUUGAAUGAUUGUGAAGUAGUUGGAAUGUGUAGUGUAGCGGUGAAAUGCUUAGAUAUUACACAGAACACCGAUAGCGAAGGCAUAUUACUAACAAUUGAUUGACGCUGAUGGACGAAAGCGUGGGGAGCGAACAGGAUUAGAUACCCUGGUAGUCCACGCUGUAAACGAUGGAUACUAGCUGUUUGGAGCAAUCUGAGUGGCUAAGCGAAAGUGAUAAGUAUCCCACCUAGGGAGUACGCACGCAAGUGUGAAACUCAAAGGAAUUGACGG
rnacentral:rRNA from 1 species